rnacentral:rRNA from 1 species
GGCGAACGCUGGCGGCGUGCUUAACACAUGCAAGUCGAACGGAAAGGCCCUGCUUUUGUUGGUUGCUCGAGUGGCGAACGGGUGAGUAACACGUGAGUAACCUGCCCUUGACUUUGGGAUAACUUCAGGAAACUGGGGCUAAUAUCGGAUAUGAGCUCCUGCUCCAUGUUGUGGGUUGGAAAGUUUCGGCUGUUGGGGAUGGACUCGCUGCUUAUCAGCUUGUUUGUGGGGUAGUGGCUUACCAAGGCUUUGACGGGUAGCCGGCCUGAGAGGGUUACCGGCGACAUUGGGACUGAGAUACGGCCCAGAAUCCUACGGGAGGCAGCAGGGGGGAAUAUUGCAGAAUGGGCGGAAGCCAGAUGCAGAAACGCCGCGUGCGGGAUGACGGCCUUCGGGUUAUAAACAGCUGUCGAAGGUGACGAAGAGUGAGUGACGGUAAUGGGUAAAGAAGCAACGGCUAACUACGUG